CUGUUGGUCACCAAUGCUCAGUGACUGAAACAGAGCAGAAGACAGCUGAGAAGCAUCUAUCUGAUGGACCCCAGUGUUAAGUUAGCCUCCAGUGUCCUGGAUUCAGGGUGACAGAAUGGCCAGCAUGCUGGUGCUGCUUUUGUAUAGAAAUCUAAGUCUAUAGCUUGCCAUUUAAAUAAUUUUUCAAAAUGGUAAACUCAUUUAGCCGGCCACCAAGAUAAAUCUGCUCUUGGGAAUUGCAUUUCGAUGUGCCUGGGAGCAGAAAGCUCCUAUUGUUGAUCAUUUUAGCUGAUAAAUGAAGACACCUUACUUUGGGGUCCCAGUACUUCAUCCAGACAAGGUGAUUGCUUACAGAUGGGACUGAGCCCUAGAACACUGAGGCCAGAGGAGACCUCUCUCCUGAUGGAAGAAGUAAAGAAGGAGGAGGAGGAGGAGCAGGAGGAGGAGCAGGAGAG
rnacentral:lncRNA from 1 species